rnacentral:rRNA from 1 species
UACGUAGGUGACAAGCGUUGUCCGGAAUUAUUGGGCGUAAAGGGAGCGCAGGCGGUUGGAAUAGUCUGAUGUGAAAGCCCACGGCUUAACCGUGGAGGGUCAUUGGAAACUGUCCAACUUGAAUGCAGAAGAGGAAAGUGGAAUUCCAUGUGUAGUGGUGAAAUACGUAGAGAUAUGGAGGAACACCAGUGGCGAAGGCGACUUUCUGGUCUGUAACUGACGCUGAUGUGCGAAAGCGUGGGGAUCAAACAGG